ACCCGUCGACACUGAAUGCGCUAAAUGCGAGCUCGAGGCUCUCUUGUUUAAGCGCGCUUACAGUUUACGUUAUUUGGAAGUUCCGCGCAUGAUACGUAUCAUUUUUCAUAAUACGUGAAUCCCACUUGAAAGCCUUUUAUUCACUCCUAAGUCCCGCAAAACUGGUAGGCAAAGGUGCUGAAAGAUCAGAGGGGGACGUACUGUCGGACUCCACUACAUAGAAGAUGAAGAACCGUGGAGAUCAAGCUCAAUAAUUAUAUCAACACGAACUUGAAGAGCGGGCUUUAAGGUGAUGCGGUCAAAAAAUACUAGGUAAGUAUUAAAUGAAAUAAAUUUAUUGCCGAUAUUGUGUUCAUACAGUUCAGUUAUCAAUUCAAAUAGCAUUUCAACAUAAUUAUUAUUCUAUCAAAAUAUUCUAGGCGCGAUUGAAACAUGCAGAGACUUUCUUUCAUUACAGGUGUUCAUCGGAGAUACAAAACUUCUUAUCAUCCGAACCGUCUUUUCGAGUGUAAUGCCUUCCAUUAAAGCUAGAGUUUAGUUCAUUGAUCUCCACCAACAGCACUCUUCAACCAACUAGCAUGGAAAGAAACUGUGUUAGUUUGAUUCCCAACAGGUCCAAUGUUACAGUAAUAGUAUUAAAAAUAGCAGGUGGAUUGGAUUUAUCUCAAAUUUAUACUUCUGAUCCUUAGGAUCAUCCUGCUUGAAGACAGGCAACAAACUCUGUUUAAAAACUUUUCCAAAUUUAACUUUUAAAAGCAUUCCAUAAUCAAAAAUGCCUGACACUUGCUCUACCAACAUUGUACUAACAACAUAAGUUGGGACUUGAAUAUGAAAAAUAUCAAACAAACCUCAAAAAUGAUUAGAAUAGAAAAUGCUUUGUCUGAUAAGAGAAAAACGUCGCAUCUACGCAAUUUGAAACUUUGAAAAUACGAUUUGCAUCAGUGGGCAACGAGCUUGUAGACUGCGCAUAAAAUUCAUAUCUGCCGGCACUCACUCUCUUAGAAAUCAUAAAAAAUCAUUCACAUUUAUGCUGGCCACAUACUUUGCUUGUGAUGCAAAAUGCAAACUUAAACUAGGGUAGAAGUACCGUGGCACUUUACGAAACAUUUGAGUGUUUAAUACUUCUACAGAGCACCCAACAGGACGAAUUUUACUCCCAGUUGUUUUGAAAAAACACUGCUGCUUUUCCUCUCUCGGCUGGUUUUGCGUCACUUGGAUUUACAUUUGAAAAGUGGCAGUAACUCGUAAUUGAUAGUUCAUUAUGCAAUGUAAAUGUUGCUUGAAAUAAAUAUGAUGACACUUAUCGUAGCUCCAAAGUGCCACCAAGCCUCUACAUGAUGCUGCAGCGUUCUUCUCUUCCAUGACCGUUCUC